UACGAAGGGGGCUAGCGUUGCUCGGAAUUACUGGGCGUAAAGCGUGCGUAGGCGGUUCGUUAAGUCUGUCGUGAAAGCCCUGGGCUCAACCUGGGAAUUGCGAUGGAUACUGGCGAGCUAGAGUACGGUAGAGGAUGGUGGAAUUCCCGGUGUAGCGGUGAAAUGCGUAGAGAUCGGGAGGAACACCCGUGGCGAAGGCGGCCAUCUGGACCAGUACUGACGCUGAGGCACGAAAGCGUGGGGAGCAAACAGG
rnacentral:rRNA from 1 species